rnacentral:rRNA from 2 species
CCUGUACUUUCUAUAAAUGUGAUGGAGUGACGGGGGAGGAUAGUACUACCACUUACUGGAUUGUGGGGUAAAUAGUAACUGGGUUAUGUAGGCAAAUCCGCAUAACUUAACCGGGAGCUAUGAUGCAUAGUGAAAGGGCAACCAAGUAGCGAAUUGGAUGAUUCCAUACCUCUUAAAAAAGCUUCUAACAUUAAGUUUAUAUGAAACCCGUACCGAGAACGGACACACGUCCCCAAGAUGAGUAUUCUAAGGCGAGCGAGAAAACCAAUGUCAAGGAACUCUGCAAAUUCAUCCCGUAAGUUCGCAAGAAGGGAUGCCCACCCUAGAAAGUGGGCCGCAGUGAAUAGUAAGGGGGAACUGUUUAUCAAAAACACAGCUCUAUGCUAAGUCGUAAGACGAUGUAUAUGGGGUGACUCCUGCCCAGUGCCCGAAGGUUAAGCAAAGGUGUUAG